rnacentral:rRNA from 1 species
GUUAGCCGAUGCUUAUUCUUCAGGUACACGUCAUUUUAUUCUUCCCUGAGAAAAGGGGUUUACAAUCCAAGAACCUUCCUCCCUCACGCGGUAUUGCUCCGUCAGGCUUUCGCCCAUUGCGGAAAAUUCCCCA